ACCUGAGGAACAGCUUGUGUGGUGUUUUCUGGACAUGGAUGAAAAUCAAAGUGGUUGCCAAGCCCAAGAAGGACAAGAGGCAAACUACCCAGUGGAACUACAAGAGGUGGAGGACAUUACUGCAGUGUUGCAGGACUCUUUGAAUGAGAAGUAUUGGAUUCAUUCCAGGUGCUAUGACUUGUGUGACUUCCACCAGACUCUUAACGCUCCAGAGCUCCAACCUGAGGAACAGCUUGUGUGGUGUUUUCUGGACAUGGAUGAAAAUCAAAGUGGUUGCCAAGCCCAAGAAGG